CUGAAUGAGGAACAUGAAUACUUUUCAAUCUAUAGCCAAGUGUAAACAAAAAGCAAUAUGUCGAAAGUCACACACAGCAACACAGUCAAGCCUCAUAACAACUCAUCCUAGUCUCACAACAACACAGUCAAAUGACCAAACAACCAAACUAUGGAACAAGUCAUAUAGUUGAACUAAAAUAGGUUUGAACCAAAAAACAAAACAGUUUUAGCCAAGUCUAAACAUGGAGUAUCAGUAUAUUCCCUUUUAUUAGUGUAGUCACUGCCAAACUGGUUCUUGCUUCUCAUUUAUUUGAAACACCUAGCAGCACUCCCCAUAGCUUCCUGUCAUUGUAAAAAGUAGAUGUAUUAGAACCUUUGAUUUAUAAAAAUUAGAUUUGUCUAGGUCCUAACUCCUCAAUUACUAACAUGGCAUUUUUUGUCAUGGCGUUCAAACUCAUUCUAGAUUAUUGAAAUUGUCCAUCUACCUCAUAUUUGAAGCAGUUGAAC
rnacentral:lncRNA from 1 species